AUUUUGAACCGCAUGGUUCAAAAGUGAAAGACGGUCUUGCUGUCACUUAUAGAUGGAUCCGCGCUGCAUUAGCUAGUUGGUAAGGUAACGGCUUACCAAGGCAACGAUGCAUAGCCGACCUGAGAGGGUGAUCGGCCACACUGGAACUGAGACACGGUCCAGACUCCUACGGGAGGCAGCAGUAGGGAAUCUUCCGCAAUGGGCGAAAGCCUGACGGAGCAACGCCGCGUGAGUGAUGAAGGUCUUCGGAUCGUAAAACUCUGUUAUUAGGGAAGAACAUAUGUGUAAGUAACUGUGCACAUCUUGACGGUACCUAAUCAGAAAGCCACGGCUAACUACGUGCCAGCAGCCGCGGUAAUACGUAGGUGGCAAGCGUUAUCCGGAAUUAUUGGGCGUAAAGCGCGCGUAGGCGGUUUUUUAAGUCUGAUGUGAAAGCCCACGGCUCAACCGUGGAGGGUCAUUGGAAACUGGAAAACUUGAGUGCAGAAGAGGAAAGUGGAAUUCCAUGUGUAGCGGUGAAAUGCGCAGAGAUAUGGAGGAACACCAGUGGCGAAGGCGACUUUCUGGUCUGUAACUGACGCUGAUGUGCGAAAGCGUGGGGAUCAAACAGGAUUAGAUACCCUGGUAGUCCACGCCGUAAACGAUGAGUGCUAAGUGUUAGGGGGUUUCCGCCCCUUAAGGCUGCAGCUAACGCAUUAAGCACUCCGCCUGGGGAGUACGACCGCAAGGUUGAAACUCAAAG
rnacentral:rRNA from 1 species